rnacentral:rRNA from 1 species
UACGAAGGGGGCUGGCGUUGCUCGGAAUCACUGGGCGUAAAGGGUGCGUAGGCGGGUCUUUAAGUCAGGGGGGAAAUCCUGGAGCUCAACUCCAGAACUGCCUUUGAUACUGAGGAUCUUGAGUUCGGGAGAGGUGAGUGGAACUGCGAGUGUAGAGGUGAAAUUCGUAGAUAUUCGCAAGAACACCAGUGGCGAAGGCGGCUCACUGGCCCGAUACUGACGCUGAGGCACGAAAGCGUGGGGAGCAAACAGG